GACGAAGGGGGCAAGCGUUGUUCGGAAUUACUGGGCGUAAAGGGCGCGUAGGCGGCUCUUUAAGUCAGGCGUGAAAGCCCUGGGCUCAACCUGGGAGUGGCGCUUGAUACUGGAGGGCUAGAGAGUGGGAGAGGUUGGUGGAAUUCCCAGUGUAGAGGUGAAAUUCGUAGAUAUUGGGAAGAACACCGGUGGCGAAGGCGGCCAACUGGACCAUUUCUGACGCUGAGGCGCGAAAGCGUGGGGAGCAAACAGG
rnacentral:rRNA from 1 species